rnacentral:rRNA from 1 species
AGCGAACGCUGGCGGCAUGCCUAACACAUGCAAGUCGAACGAGACCUUCGGGUCUAGUGGCGCACGGGUGCGUAACGCGUGGGAACCUGCCCUUAGGUUCGGAAUAACUCCCCGAAAGGGGUGCUAAUACCAGAUAAUGUCUUCGGACCAAAGAUUUAUCGCCUUUGGAUGGGCCCGCGUUGGAUUAGCUAGUUGGUAGGGUAAAAGCCUACCAAGGCGACGAUCCAUAGCUGGUCUGAGAGGAUGAUCAGCCACACUGGGACUGAGACACGGCCCAGACUCCUACGGGAGGCAGCAGUGGGGAAUAUUGGACAAUGGGCGAAAGCCUGAUCCAGCAAUGCCGCGUGAGUGAUGAAGGCCUUAGGGUUGUAAAGCUCUUUUACCCGGGAUGAUAAUGACAGUACCGGGAGAAUAAGCUCCGGCUAACUCCGUG